CUUCAUAUCCACAUUGACGUGCACUUUAUAAACAUACUAGCAUCACUGUUUGUAUUCUGAAUGUCAUAUAAUUACUUCAUAUCCACAAUGAUAUGUACUUUAUAUACAGACUGUAAUAACCACUUUUGUCUUGACUGUCA